rnacentral:rRNA from 1 species
UACGUAGGGGGCAAGCGUUGUCCGGAUUUAUUGGGCGUAAAGAGCGUGUAGGCGGCCAGGUAGGUCAGCUGUGAAAACUCGAGGCUCAACCUCGAGACGCCGGUUGAAACCAUCUGGCUAGAGUCCGGAAGAGGAGAGUGGAAUUCCUGGUGUAGCGGUGAAAUGCGCAGAUAUCAGGAAGAACACCCGUGGCUAAGGCGGCUCUCUAGUACGGUACUG